rnacentral:rRNA from 1 species
CUAGGCUUGACAUCCCUUAGACCGCUCCUUAACCGGAGCUUUCCCUUCGGGGACUGAGGUGACAGGUGGUGCAUGGUUGUCGUCAGCUCGUGUCGUGAGAUGUUGGGUUAAGUCCCGCAACGAGCGCAACCCUUGCCUUUAGUUGCCAUCAUUAAGUUGGGCACUCUAGAGGGACUGCCGAGGAUAACUCGGAGGAAGGUGGGGAUGACGUCAAAUCAUCAUGCCCCUUAUGCUUAGGGCUACACACGUGCUACAAUGGCUAGUACAGAGGGCAGCGAAGCCGUGAGGUGGAGCCAAUCCCUUAAAGCUAGUCUCAGUUCGGAUUGUAGGCUGAAACUCGCCUACAUGAAGCUGGAGUUGCUAGUAAUCGCGGAUCAGAAUGCCGCGGUGAAUGCGUUCCC